rnacentral:rRNA from 1 species
AUUGAACGCUGGCGGCAGGCCUAACACAUGCAAGUCGAGCGGAUGAAGAGAGCUUGCUCUCUGAUUUAGCGGCGGACGGGUGAGUAAUGCCUAGGAACCUGCCUGGUAGUGGGGGAUAACGUUCCGAAAGGAACGCUAAUACCGCAUACGUCCUACGGGAGAAAGCAGGGGACCUUCGGGCCUUGCGCUAUCAGAUGAGCCUAGGUCGGAUUAGCGAGUUGGUGAGGUAAUGGCUCACCAAGGCGACGAUCCGUAACUGGUCUGAGAGGAUGAUCAGUCACACUGGAACUGAGACACGGUCCAGACUCCUACGGGAGGCAGCAGUGGGGAAUAUUGGACAAUGGGCGAAAGCCUGAUUCAGCCAUGCCGCGUGUGUGAAGAAGGUCUUCGGAUUGUAAAGCACUUUAAGUUGGGAGGAAGGGCAGUAAGUUAAUACCUUGCUGUUUUGACGUUACCGACAGAAUAAGCACCGGCUAACUUCGUGCCAGCCGCCGCAGUAAAAC